CAAUCGUGCGCUGGAGGCUGGCCUAAUUCCUGCAAGUCGUACCAUNGUACCCGUAACUUGCUCUCGGGUGACGAGCGGCGGACGGGUGAGUAAUGUCUGGGAAACUGCCUGAUGGAGGGGGAUAACUACUGGAAACGGUAGCUAAUACCGCAUAACGUCGCAAGACCAAAGUGGGGGACCUUCGGGCCUCAUGCCAUCAGAUGUGCCCAGAUGGGAUUAGCUAGUAGGUGGGGUAACGGCUCACCUAGGCGACGAUCCCUAGCUGGUCUGAGAGGAUGACCAGCCACACUGGAACUGAGACACGGUCCAGACUCCUACGGGAGGCAGCAGUGGGGAAUAUUGCACAAUGGGCGCAAGCCUGAUGCAGCCAUGCCGCGUGUAUGAAGAAGGCCUUCGGGUUUGUAAAGUACUUUCAGCGGGGAGGAAGGCGAUAAGGUUAAUAACCUUGUCGAUUGACGUUACCCGCAGAAGAAGCACCGGCUAAUUCCGUGCCAGCAGCCGCGGUAAUACGGAGGGUGCAAGCGUUUAUCGGAAUUACUGGGCGUAAAGCGCACGCAGCGGUCUGUCAAGUCGGAUGUGAAAUCCCGGGCUCAACCUGGGAACUGCAUUC
rnacentral:rRNA from 1 species